CCUACGGGUGGCAGCAGUGGGGAAUAUUGCACAAUGGGGGAAACCCUGAUGCAGCGACGCCGCGUGAGUGAAGAAGUAUUUCGGUACGUAAAGCUCUAUCAGCAGGGAAGAAAAUGACGGUACCUGACUAAGAAGCCCCGACUAACUACGUUCCAGCAGCCGCGGUAAUACGUAGGGGGCAAGCGUUAUCCGGAUUUACUGGGUGUAAAGGGAGCGUAGACGGCAGCGCAAGUCUGGAGUGAAAUCCCAUGGCUUAACCAUGGAACUGCUUUGGAAACUGUGCAGCUAGAGUGCAGGAGAGGUAAGCGGAAGUCGUGGUGGAGCGGUGAAAUGCGUAGAUAUUAGGAAGAACACCAGUGGCGAAGGCGGCUUACUGGACUGUAACUGACGUUGAGGCUCGAAAGCGUGGGGAGCAAACAGGAUUAGAUACCCGAGUAGUC
rnacentral:rRNA from 1 species